rnacentral:tRNA from 1 species
GCGUUUGGGCGAAAUCGCCUUCGGUCUUCGGAACCGAGGGUUGGGGGUUCAAAUCCCUCCGGGCGUA